AAAAAAAAAAAAGUAUAUGUUCCUCAUCAUUGUCUUCAGUGCUUUUCCAAGUAUUUUAAAAUAUCAGAGUACAUAUUUCAUAUUUCAUUAUCACUCAGCAGCAUGAGAAUAAUAGCCUUCAUAUAGCAUACAUAGCUAAAACUCAAACAUUCAUUUCUGUCCUUAAUUUCAACAUUUAACUCCCAUCUGUUCUUCUCCCUUUUUUCUUUCAUUUCCCUGUUUCUGUUUUUCCUCAUGCUCUGACAUUAAAGUGGUUGCGCUGAAAAGACUGCCCUUUUUGAGGAACAGACCGAAGGAUAAAGACAAAAUGAAGGCCUGCUACCGUCGUUCCAUGUCCAUGAAUGACCUGGUGCAGUCCAUGGUCCUAGCAGGACAGUGGACAGGUAGUACUGAGAAUUUGGAGGUUCCUGAUGAUAUUUCAAUGGGUAAAAGGAGAAAAGAAUUGGGAGCUAUGGCCUUCUCUACUACAGCCAUCAACUUUUCAACUGUCAACUCUUCUGCAGGCUUCAGAUCCAAGCAGUUGGUUAAUAAUAAAGAUACUACGUCCUUUGAAGACAUAAGUCCACAAGGUGUUAGUGAUGAUUCUAGUACGGGAUCAAGAGUUCAUGCUUCAAGACCAGCCAGCCUUGAUAGUGGCAGAACAUCCACUAGCAAUAGCAAUAAUAAUGCUUCACUACAUGAAGUCAAAGCAGGUGAGCAGUUAAUAACCAAAGCAGGCCAGCAAAGCCACAGCAGUGGAGAAUUUAGCCUGCUUCAUGACCAUGAGGCUUGGUCCAGCAGUGGUAGCAGUCCAAUCCAGUACUUGAAAAGACAGACCAGAUCAAGUCCAGUGCUCCAACACAAAAUAUCUGAAACACUGGAGAGUCGACAUCACAAAAUCAAAACUGGUUCCCCUGGAAGUGAAGUUGUUACUCUACAACAGUUUUUGGAAGAAAGCAAUAAGCUUACCUCAAUACAGAUAAAGUCCUCAAGUCAAGAAAAUCUUUUAGAUGAAGUAAUGAAAAGUCUGUCUGUUUCUUCUGACUUUUUGGGAAAAGACAAACCAGUUAGCUGUGGUCUGGCCAGGUCAGUAAGUGGAAAAACCCCAGGGGACUUCUAUGAUAGAUGGACAACUAAGCCUGAGUUUUUGAGACCUGGUCCUCGAAAAACUGAAGAUACCUACUUCAUUAGUUCUGCAGGAAAACCUACACCAGGCACUCAAGGAAAGAUAAAAUUAGUAAAAGAAUCUUCUCUGUCACGACAAUCAAAAGAUAGUAACCCUUAUGCCACUUUACCUCGUGCAAGCAGCGUGAUCUCAACUGCUGAAGGAACUACAAGAAGGACAAGCAUCCAUGAUUUUUUGACCAAGGACAGUAGACUGCCUAUAUCAGUUGAUUCAUCACCAGCUGCUGCUGACAGCAACACCACUGCAGCAUCUAAUGUGGACAAAGUACAAGAAAGCAGAAAUUCAAAAAGCAGGUCUAGGGAGCAACAAAGCUCCUAAUUCUGUUACCCACUACAUGACAUGUGGGCCAAGUGGUGAGUUUCCUGCUUAAAAUGUAAAUGAGAUUAGUCUCAUUUAUACAAACUAACCAAAUUAAGUGUGAAACAAGAGCACAUUGCAUUAACAGAUGUAAAUAUUGCUUGCUUGACUCAUUGACUUUCUGUUCUACUUACUAGUGAAGCAAGAUUAGUUGGCUGCCAUAGGUUUUUACUUGUCAGCGCAAGGAACAAGUUUUUUUGUUUUUAAGUUUUUUUCUCACUUUAAAUUUAAUUUUACUAGUGAAUUAUGUUCUAGGAAUUACUUUUUUAGUUUGAAGCCUUUUGUGGUAGGAAUACAACUUCCCCACAGUUUUCUUGAAAAUUAAUGAGAAUAAACUAAAUGCCUAUUCUAUGAUGAGCCACUCAAAAAUUAUCUCUGAUUUUCUGUCAUUCUCAUUCUUAUAGAAAUAUCUGGUGCAUGCUGUUCUUAUAGUGGCUGCUCUGCAUUUUGUAUCUCUCUUCACGCUUUUCUUGUAUUUUCUUUCUUCUUUCUGCCUUCCAACUAAAUACAGAGAGAAAAGUGUCCUUCAGUUUCUCAGUAUGAAGCCUUUAUUUCUGAAGUAACAAGACACCUAGCAACUAUAGGAAUCAUGUUUUACAAUCUUUAAGGAGACUUUUAACAGUCCUUCGUGAAUAGAGCAGGCAAGAAAUACACACCUUCAUGCCUUGAAUCAAGGAGCACUACUGGAUUCAACUGCCAAAAUUCUUUAAAGGUUUUAGGACUUACUAUACCUUGUACUGUUAAGAUCUACUGAAAAAAGGACGUUCUCUCGCUAAGGACCAAGUGUUUUAAGGUGAAGUGUUUAAAGAAGUACUCCAAGAACAAUCUGCUUUUUUCAUCAUUUGUUUUAUGAAUUUAUCCAUGUUUGCUUAAUGCUUCUGCUAAGUGUUAGCCAAAAUCUAGCCAUUUAUAUUUAGUUGUGUAAACCUAAAUUAAAUGCUGUAGUAUUUUGCGGAAUGUACUAUAUAGCAAUAUACAGAGAAAGUUGUUUUGGCAUGUCAGAGCCUUAUUUGGUUAGCAGACUGCAUGUGUUGGUACUUUUUUUUUCUUAAAGCCAAUUAUUUUGAUGCAAAAGAAAUUCAGUUUAUAAGAUAAAUCUGAAAAAUCCAUAAUGAAAUAGGAGUUAUAAAAAAUUUAUAGUGAUAUUAAUCUUUACAUAUUUCCCAUUAAGCAACACUAAGCAUACAUGCGUUAAUCCACGGUAAAGAGUGUUUUUCUGAAACUUUUUUUAGUAAGAUGGUUUUCCAGCAAAUGGCAUUCCCAAGAUAAAGCUGUUGUGCUUUAACUCAUUUCUUUUCUUUGGUAUUGGGUUAUGUAUGUGUGUGUAUUUUUUUAACUUGAGAGCUGACUGUUGCUUAAGAAGUUUUCUAAUGGCAAAAAGAAUGUAAAUAACUUACUAUGAUCUGCAUUUUGCCAGAAACUCAUUUAUAAUUAAGGCUAUCAUUUAUUAAUGACUUUUUUUCUCCUUUAUAAUAUUACAUUAAAGUUGAUAAUUGUUAUUGGUACUUUUGAAAUAUUUGUAUGCAUUUGUUACCUUUAAACAUUUGGAAGAAGCACAAAAAAAUAGAUUUAGUUAACCCAGGAAACAUCAAUUUUUUUAGUAGUUCCAAUUUUAUAUCACAGUUUUAUUUUCUUAUGAAAUCAAAAAAUGCAUUGAUACUCAUUAAUGCAAAUUCAUUAUUUAACAUCAAUAUCAGAGUAAUCUUCAAGGUCUGAAAUGAGAAAGAUACUGACUUUUUAAAAUUUUAACAGUGUACUUCUUAGGCUUUCAUUACCAGCUCUAAAGAACUUUUUGGAAUAAUUCCAUAUUCCGUAGUGUGUGGUUUAUGAGUUGUGGGUUUCAUCACUAACCCAGUAACCAUGAGAAAAGUCUCUCUCCCUCUGUCUCUCUUUCUCUCUCUCUUUCGUAGGCCAGUAGCAAUGUUGUGUUCACAGUUUGCUUUCCAAAAGACCAUGAAUAAAAAAGAGAGCAUGUUUCAAUUGAAAUGGAACUUAAGAGAACUUGAACUUACUUACAUACUUCAAUGCCACUUAUAACUUAGGUUUUACCACCAAAUGCUGUUAACAUUAAAUCAUUUUGAAACUCUUGGAUGAAAGGUGCUAUGUAAAUGUAAAUACAAAGGAUUCUUACUAACAUACAAAUAAUGCACAACAGAAAUAUUUAAAACCUAUUCUGUAGUCUUUGAAACAUCUCUCUCUGUCAUAACUCCCUGGAUUCAAGUAGCACAUUGGUAAUAGGUGUCAGAGCAGUCUAGAGACACUUGCAUGUCAAAAAAUGUACAUUCAUUUUUAGGUGGAUAAAAGUAAACAUAGAAAUUAUGUUAUGGCUAAAUACAGUAAGUGGGUAACUUAGAUUUAUAUUAGCUAGCAUCUAAUUUGCACAACUAGAACAUAUCCCAGAACAAUUACUGAAAAGCUGAAAUUUAAUGAGUGGUGAGGUAGCCCAAUGAGGGCGAAUGACAUCACAGCUUGACCUCUCCAGAACACUAAUAUCUUAAAAUAGAGAAUAUGCUGCGUUAAGUGCAUUAGUGCUUCAAGCAGAAAAUGCUGAAAAACAGCCUGUAAAGUACUGAAUCUGAGUAGGCUGACCCUGAGAAGGGACAGUUAAAGAGACAACCAAGGGAACACAUUGAGACUACAAAAAUAUGAAUAAUCUCAAUUAUAUUCAUCACACUUUUUUCAUACCAUUUCAAGAAAGGACUAGAUAAGAGUAACCACAUGAAUAUUUUACUUUCUCCAGUAUACCUUGAGAAGCAAACUUUGUAGGAAGCCACUCUUCUCCCUUAAACUUCUGCCAAACAAUAAUAAAGUCAACUGGAAACUAAUUGGAGCCGUUUUAACUGGGGCCUGACAUGCUUUAAAUUAUCUGGCUCUAUUCUAAAUCAACACCUAAACCCCCAAGGAAACUGCAGAAUCAAUAUACAGGGUAAUAGCUUUGGUUCAGAGCUCCAAUAGUGUGCUUCAGAUCUGUCCAUGUGGAAACGCUUUUGUCCAAAUUUUUUAAUUGGUGGUUACCAAAGAGUUCACAAAACAGGUUUUUUUUGUUUUUGUUUUUUUGAGACGGAGUCUCGCUCUGUCGCCCAGGCUGGAGUGCAGUGGCCGGAUCUCAGCUCACUGCAAGCUCCGCCUCCCGGGUUUACGCCAUUCUCCUGCCUCAGCCUCCCGAGUAGCUGGGACUACAGGCGGCCGCCACCUCGCCCGGCUAGUUUUUUGUAUUUUUUAGUAGAGACGGGGUUUCACCGUGUUAGCCAGGAUGGUCUCGAUCUCCUGACCUCGUGAUCCGCCCGUCUCGGCCUCCCAAAGUGCUGGGAUUACAGGCUUGAGCCACCGCGCCCGGCCUCACAAAACAGGUUUGUAUGUAGCACCUUUCAUGCAAGGCAUGCUAAAAGCCUAUUUUAAAAUCACUGUGCAUAUUAUAGAAUUGUAGCCACCUCCCAAUGAAGUACUACAGCCUGUGCUGUCUUAAUGGUUUGUGUCAGGAAAUGAAAAAGAUACUGUACCAAAUCUGGAAUUACAAUGGGGAGUAAUAAUGUAUGCUAAAUGACUUUUGUAUUUUAAGUUACUUUUUGUGAGUGGUGAAUUUUGUGUUUUCUUUUCAGCUAUACUUAGUCCUGAGAUGUAUUUUUUCUUUAAGUCUUGAAUGAAUACAAAAGGAGCCCAUUUUAUAAUAUAAACCUUGAUGUACAUGUUGAGAUAUCUGGACAAUGAAAAUGCCUUAAAAGGAAUGCAUAUGGAUAAAGUUGCACUUAUAACACCCUUCAACAAAAUCUGAUUUUAAAUUGUCUUUUCUUUUCUAUUAAGGGUUUUCUUUUCAGUGUCUACCAUUGUACUUAUAACUGUUAUUAAAUACCAAAUCAAAUAAUAUAAAAGCUGUAACAUUUCCUUUAAAACUAAUGCUAAUAAGGGAUUUAGAAUUGAAUGGCAAAAUGUUUAUUACUUGGCAAUACCUGAUGUCAGUCACAGGCAUCCAACUCAUGACAAGAGAUACCACUGUUUGUUUUUUAAAAAACAUUUUUCAUUUUGGUACUCCUUCAAAAAUUAAGUUGGACUAACAUUCACAUAUCCAACUAAUAUAAAAGAAAUAAAACCAAGAGGUGAUUUUUGUAACAAAUGGUUAGUAAUCAUUUAAAAAUGAUAUCAUUUUAGCCAAGUGUUAUUUUAUUUCUUUCCGUUUUCCCUAGAGAACUAUUGUCAGACAUAACCGAUGACCUUGUUUAGUUGAUUCUGUCAUAACAUUUUAUGAUAAGUGUUAGGGGUUUGGAAAGAGCGUCUGUCAGUUUUGUCAGUCCCAAAAUAGGUUUAAAUGUGAUCUAAUAGAUUGCACAAAUGAAUCUCUCAUUUUCACUUAGACUUUAGGAGACAAAGCAACUGGCUUCAUCCUUGGGCAAGUCAGUUUUUCUGGGCCUGUUUUAACCAUAAAGUGGAGAGGGCAAUUAGACCAAACACCUAAGGUACUUAAUUUAUGUGUAUUCAUUAGUACCUUCAUUUCAUAUGCAGAGCAACCUAAAACAGC
rnacentral:lncRNA from 1 species